GGCGGCCCCGGCUUUUGCUCAAGCUUCCGUGCCGACUGCCCCGCGGUCCCCCUGUCCCCGGGACAACCCUCUUGACGCUGCUCGCUAGUCCUCCAGCUCGCGCGACCAGUGUCGUUUUCCUUCUUCGGGAGGAGCCCGGGGCGGGGGAAGGGGACCCUGGAACCCUGGGCUCAGCCGGUCACGCUGUCUGCGGCCAGCGUGUGAGGGACGGGCACCGGGAAGGCGGCCCGGGGCAGCCGGCAGUGACUGGGAUCAGGCGGUCAGCGCGGUGCCUUCAAGGUCGACACUGGGGGAGAUUUUUCUCCCAUCACACGGUUGUCUGUGCGGAAAGCUUUGAGACUGGGGUGUCCUGCUGCUGAAUUCCACGGGGUGCUGAGGCUAUUGACGGAGGACGUUGCCAGGCAACCCGGACUCCUCCAUUUACUUUAACUUCUACCCUCUUUAUUAAACUUUAAUGUGGAAAAAGAUAUUAAGCAAAUUACCUUCCUUUCUUUUCGUGCCUAUCCUCACGUGUAAAAAUACCAGUGAGCAGAUAAAUGAUCAAAAGCCCAGCAAGAGUCAGGCCUUAGUGGUGUGGACCGAAUAGGCUAUGGACCGAAUAUCUGCCCGUUAAUUGCAAAGAACCAGCGAAUUUCAGCAUAUCAAACGCAGGGCAUUUCUGAACUCUUUAGCAUGUUUCCGAACUGGAGCAGCCUUUGGGAAGCUCCAAUGUGGACAUAUGAAUCACAAUCAUACUGACAAGUGUUGCUAAUGGAAACACUAAAGGAUUUAAACAAAGAUUCAAAAGGGGAUAAGAAAUGGUGCCUUCUAUCUUCGUUGUUUCCACUGUUAGCUGAGUGCUUUGAAAAUCCGAAUUGUUCUGUCCGUGCAUAACAUCUGUUUGACUGAAACUUGGGGAGCUCGUUUCUCCUCUCUUAGAGUCUGCCUGCCUUUCAUCAUCUUCAGCUGAAAUCCCAACAUCUGGACCUAAUUUCGGCUCUGAGGUGCUCUUCACGUUGUCUGAUGCAAGUCGAUCGCCAUCUGGGGAUGCUGGCGUGCUCGUGCUGGGUGGCAGGCGAAGGCUGCCCUGACGCUCUGGGACCAGGUGCGUUCUUUGGUCCUUCUCUUCCUUCACACGGAAGGAACCAACUUUUUUCCUGAACCCUGUCCCUGGUGGCAUGCAGCGGGAAGCAUCCUCAUACAACUCCUCCCCGUUGAAAAGAUACCUGUACAUGCUGUAGCCAUCGGCACUGUUGAUGCUGCUUUGCCUUAGAAGGUAUGUUGCAUCGCACUCAGAAGAAGCCCGGGACCGGGUCUGUAUCAGGUCGGACUUGUCAAUUCCUGCGAGGUUUUCCAGUGCAUUUACCAUUCUGCUAGAUAGUUCUUCCAGUUGGGAAAGGCGAAGGUCAACAGUCUGCAGGGAAGUUUUCAUAAAGUUUUCUCUUUCGUUGAUUUCUUCCAACCUCAUGGACAUAUUUUCAACUCUGGCGGAUACAAAGGGGUAGGUUUAUUACACUGAGAUGAACUAAGGAUUAAAACCAAAAAUAUAAUGUUAUUGUUGCUGUAUGAUUUUGCAGGCUUUUGGGAAUCAUGGGCUGAUUGGGGCAUAUUUUUAAACUUCACACUCUCCUAAUAUAACUACUGAAAAUUACAGUGAGGAGCAUCAGAAAAUAAUAGAAAUAUGGUUAACGCAUAUGGUGCUAUUUACUGUUCAUUGCUCUAAAUGCCUUAUGUAUUCAUUAAUACGUACUCACCGAGGUCCUAUUCUAGGCUUGUUUAACCCUCACAACAGACCUAUGAAGAAGGCACUAUUAUCACCAUCCCCAUUUUACAGAUGAGGAAAUCAAGUCACGGAGGGGGUAAGUAAUUUGCCUACGGACGCACAGCUGGCAAAGAGUGUGGCACCAGCAGGGGCACCAGCUCUGGUCUCUCAUCUGGUACAUCACAUUGCCUCUGAUGAUAAAGGGAGACACUAGCAGUUAGGUUUCUGAGUUUUGAGUAUAGCUGUCAGCAAUGAAUGGUUAUCAUGACAAAAUAAAUACAAUAACAUCCUUAUUUGAAGUUCAGGGAAUUCGGAAAAUGAAUUGUUAAUAAUUAAGUUCAGAUUCAUCGCUAAUUAUUAGAGAAAUGCAAAUCAAAACUAUAAUGAGAUAGCAUCUCAUGCCAGUCAGAAUGCCUAUCAUCAAAAAAUCUAUGAACAACAAAUGCUGGAGAGGGUGUGGAGAAAAGGGAACCCUCCUACACUCUUGGUGGGAAUGUAAAUUGGUGCAGCCACUAUGGAGAACAGUAUGGAGGGUCCUCAGAAAACUAAACGUAGAGUUGCCAUAUGAUCCAGCAAUCCCACUCCUGGGCAUAUACCCAGAGAAAACUGUAAUUUGAAAAGACCCCUAUGUUCACAGCAGUACUAUUCACAAUAGCCAAGACAUGGAAGCAACCUAAAUGUCCAUCAAGAGAGGAAUGGAUAAAGAUGUGGUGUAUAUAUAUAUAUAUAUAUAUACAAUGGAAUAUUACUCAGCCAUUAAAAGAAUGAAAUAAGGCCAUUUACAGCAACAUGGAUGGAUCUACAGAAUAUCAUAACUAAGUUAAGUAAAUCAGACUGAGAAAGACGAAUACCAUAUGAUACCACUUAUAUGUGGAAUCUAAUUAUGACACAAAUGAACUUAUCUAUGAAAGAGAAGCAGACUAACAGACAUAGGGAACAGACUUGUGGUUGCCAAAGGGGAUGGAGGGUGGGGGAGGAAUGGAUUGCGAGUUUGGGAUUAGCAGAUGCAAACUGUUAUAUAUAGGAUGGAUAAACAACAAGGUCCUACUGUAUAGCACAGGGAACUACAUCCAAUAUCCUGGAUAAACCAUAAUGGAAAAGAAUAUAUAUAUAUAUGUAUAACUGAAUCAAUUUGCUGUAAGAAGAAAUUAACACAACAUUGUAAAUCAACUAUACUUCAAUGAAAUAAAUUUUUAAAAAGACAAAAAAUUAAGUUCAGAUUAUCAGAUGGUUUACUUCAGGGACAAGAGGUCAUUAAAUCAUCUGAAGAAUACCAGUAACUUUAAAUUGUUCGCUAUAUUUAAUAAUUGGUAUUCCCUUAUGGGGUUGUAAGAAAGAAAGAUCAUGACAGAUUAUAAAUAUCUGCUGUUAGAUUUUUUUAACUCCUAGAAGAUCAGGCAGUAGCCUAUGAGACCAUAGUGUUGCCUGAACUGAAGCCUGCUGGUGUAGACUAUAUUUUAUAUUUCAGGAAUACAUACACUAUGAAUUCUUUCCAUCGGCUUAUGAAAUUUAACUCUAAAAGGCAGCAAGUUAUGCCCAGGACCUGGGACUACCUUCUAAAAGUUGAAUUUGUCCUGGGGUAGCCAGGCAGAGGGGAUCCUGGCUCCCACUGAGAGCCUCUGGACCCUCUGCACCCGGCAGUGUGGUGGUCUGUUCACAAGCUCAUCCGUGGGUGAAGGCAAACACUUUGUACUUUCGUUAUCUGUUGCUUCUUGCCCAUCUUUUAUCUUUCUGUGGAAAUGUAUAGGCAGACUUUAAGGUCACCCAGUUUGCUUCGAGUCUGUGUCUAAUAUGGCUUUGCUACCCUCUCUGCAUAUCCUUCUAAAAUCCCUCACCUGCGCUUGCUUUCCUCUCCUCUACUUCCUGAUUACCUGCUGCUCUUCUUGCACCGUUUCCGCCCUCCGCCUGACUGCAUCUCCUGGGCUCUCCCCACUCUGCUGCUUCUGCAGCUACCUUGUCCUACAUUCUCCCAGAACUGCUUUUGCACAUGUUCUACUUCUGUUGGCCACAUUGACAGCUGCGCUCCGUUGUGUGGGAGGGUCCUUGGCUUCCAUUCUUAACCCUUUUCAUGAGGAGAGGACUAUUUUUAUGUCCCUUAGGAAAUCACAUCAUCUGAUCAGGAAGGGUCUGGCUUCCUGGAAGUUUGCCACCAGGAGGACCAACUUCGCCAAGUUCACCAUGUAUGAGGAGACGUGACUUCCUUCUUUAAAAGCUUCCCUACUGGGAUUAACAGAUGCACACUACUGUAUUUAAAAUAGAUAAUCAGGGGCUUCCCUGGUGGCGCAGUGGUUGAGAGUCCGCCUGCCA